rnacentral:lncRNA from 1 species
GACGAGGAAUAGUUGAGUUAUCGAAAAUAGGAUGAAAUAAGGCUAAAGAUGCGAAAGCUUUCAAAUGGUUUUAAAGGUUGGCUAAGGUGAUGGUAAAUUUAUAAGGGUAGUAGGCUCGAUUUAAGGAUAAAAAUAAGAAAAAUGGAAGUUGAUAAAUGAAGGCUCGGUUUUGUAAAAAGAUAUUAUAGUUGGGUAAAAUCUAGGAUAGUCGGUGGAAUGGAUAAAUGAGCUUAAACGCCAGAAACGAUUCAACACUAAAAAGUGUCACCCCGAUUUCUAUUCGGUUCAAGGUGGGAUUGCGGAAUUGUAGAAGGGUUGAACGCCACACCAAAGCAAGGUGAUAAGUUCAA